CUUGCUCCUGGGUGACGAGCGGCGGAGGGUGAGUAAUGUCUGGGAAACUGCCUGAUGGAGGGGGAUAACUACUGGAAACGGUAGCUAAUACCGCAUAACGUCUUCGGACCAAAGAGGGGGACCUUCGGGCCUCUUGCCAUCAGAUGUGCCCUGAUGGGAUUAGCUAGUAGGUGAGGUAAUGGCUCACCUAGGCGACGAUCCCUAGCUGGUCUGAGAGGAUGACCAGCCACACUGGAACUGAGACACGGUCCAGACUCCUACGGGAGGCAGCAGUGGGGAAUAUUGCACAAUGGGCGCAAGCCUGAUGCAGCCAUGCCGCGUGUAUGAAGAAGGCCUUCGGGUUGUAAAGUACUUUCAGCGAGGAGGAAGGCRUUGUGGUUAAUAACCGCAGUGAUUGACGUUACUCGCAGAAGAAGCACCGGCUAACUCCGUGCCAGCAGCCGCGGUAAUACGGAGGGUGCAAGCGUUAAUCGGAAUUACUGGGCGUAAAGCGCACGCAGGCGGUCUGUCAAGUCGGAUGUGAAAUCCCCGGGCUCAACCUGGGAACUGCAUUCGAAACUGGC
rnacentral:rRNA from 1 species